CCAUGGCUACCAAGCUAUCAAGCUCAGCUAGUCUACUGGAGGAAGAGACCCCAAGUAUAUGCAACUGAUUCAGUCAUGCUUACUUCAUCACCCAACUCAUGGCUGACCCUCAGGUGUUCACAAAUACCUGGGGACAAAGGCUGUAAAGCAGGAAGUCACCCUGGAGACCACGGGUUCCACAGAUGAAUAAACUUUGGACUAGAAAACCCAGAGACUUGUUCAAAGAGUGACAGCAGGGCCAGACCCACAUCUCCAAACCAAGAAGUCUCAGUUUCACUAUUUCAAUGGGCGCACUAUGGAACUGUAGCAUACCUAAUUUGACUGACCAACUGGAGAUUAAUAGAUUGGUUAAUUAAUUGAUUAAGCUUUAA